AUAGUAUGUAGUGAGAAAUUAUGAUAAAAAAGCUAUAUUAAUAUGUUUCUUUAUAUAUAAGCUAUAUUGUUCUAUUUGGUUUGCCAGAGUGAAUGCACUAUAUGUUUCCUUAUUUAUUUCGUGAACGAAUAACCUCAAAAUGAAUGAACGGUUGAAAAUAAAAAUUUCAUAAAACAGAGUGAGAAAAAAUUUAAAUUUCAAGUCGGAAGUAUUAAUCUUACUUUUGAUAGAAAGUGAAAUUUUUUAUUAAAGUUUUAUCUGAUUUGAAUUAUUCUACAUUGUUGAACUUACAAACGAGCCACGUCAGCCAUUAAAAUUAUCGUUUUUGAGGCCCUUUGAUUACUUCAUAAAUAAUGUCGAAAAAUUAUAAAAUUUAAUUUCUAAAUAA
rnacentral:lncRNA from 1 species